ensembl:ncRNA lncRNA:CR43498 long non-coding RNA:CR43498
GUUAUUUUAGUAAUAUUUUAGGAAAACUAAAAACAAUGUACAUAUGUACUUAGACUCUGAUUUGGAAGAUCCCGAGAAGUCGUGAUUAUUCGGAACCCAAUCCAGAUUAACCCGUGCCAGUUGGGCCUCCCACAGCUGGAAGCUGCCGGUCGAGCUGUUGCAUUUCAGGGCUGCAGCUGAGAAGCGGGCUAAUUGAACCACACCCCCUGUACCGCCCCGCCUCUCGCCGCCCCACCCCUCCGGCCUUUCUAUGCAAACAAAACGCCCAGGCAGCCGAAAAACGCCAGCCCCUGUGAGAAAAGCUGAAAAGUCCAAAAACCAGCAACGGACUGUCGAUGGAGGUGGAUGAUGUGGCAGUAGAGAUGUGGAAGUGUGCCCAGCACAAGUUGCCUGGCCGCGGGAAAUUCUCUGCACAGCGGGAAAAUUGAGGAAAAGUGGGCCUUGUGCCAAUCAGUAUGCACGUAUCGAGCAUAAUAACUUGAUAAUGAAAUCAAUUUUAAAGAUAACCAACACCUAUUAUUAGUUUUAAUUUUCAAUAUGAUUAUAAAUAAAAGAUAAAUAAAAAU